rnacentral:tRNA from 1 species
GGAUGCUAUGCUUGGUUCAGAUGGUUAGAACGACUGCCUGAUAAGCAGUAGGUCGUGGGUUCGAUUCCCACAGCAUUUU